rnacentral:rRNA from 1 species
ACGAACGCUGGCGGCGUGCCUAACACAUGCAAGUCUAACGGGUGUAGCAAUACAUCAGUGGCGCACGGGUGAGUAAUAUAUGGGUCACCUGCCUAGAAGAGGGGGAUAACUAGUCGAAAGAUUAGCUAAUACCGCAUAAAGAGGAAACUCCAAAGGUGGCCGCAAGGCUACCACUUUUAGAUGGGCUCAUAUCCUAUUAGUUUGUUGGUGAGGUAACGGCUCACCAAGGCGAAGAUGGGUAACUGGUCUGAGAGGACGAUCAGUCACACUGGAACUGAGACACGGUCCAGACUCCUACGGGAGGCAGCAGUGGGGAAUAUUGCGCAAUGGGCGAAAGCCUGACGCAGCAACGCCGCGUGAGUGAUGAAGGCCUUCGGGUUGUAAAGCUCUUUCGGCCGGGAAGAAGGGUGAAUUGUCGAAUAGGCAUUUUCAUUUGAU